rnacentral:rRNA from 1 species
UUUGGUGGCUGUUACGGCGGGGGUACACCUGUUCCCAUACCGAACACAGAAGUUAAGUCCGCUCGUGCCGAUGAUAGUCGCAAGGCAAAAGUAGGUAGCCGCCAAAA